CUAACUUCAGGACGGGGACAACAGUUGGAAACGACUGCUAAUACCCGAUGUGCCGAAAGGUGAAACCUAAUUGGCCUGGAGAAGAGCUUGCGUCUGAUUAGCUAGUUGGUGGGGUAAAGGCCUACCAAGGCGACGAUCAGUAGCUGGUCUGAGAGGAUGAGCAGCCACACUGGGACUGAGACACGGCCCAGACUCCUACGGGAGGCAGCAGUGGGGAAUUUUCCGCAAUGGGCGAAAGCCUGACGGAGCAACGCCGCGUGAGGGAGGAAGGUCUUUGGAUUGUAAACCUCUUUUCUCAAGGAAGAAGUUCUGACGGUACUUGAGGAAUCAGCCUCGGCUAACUCCGUGCCAGCAGCCGCGGUAAUACGGGGGAGGCAAGCGUUAUCCGGAAUUAUUGGGCGUAAAGCGUCCGCAGGUGGUCAGCCAAGUCUGCCGUCAAAUCAGGUUGCUUAACGACCUAAAGGCGGUGGAAACUGGCAGACUAGAGAGCAGUAGGGGUAGCAGGAAUUCCCAGUGUAGCGGUGAAAUGCGUAGAGAUUGGGAAGAACAUCGGUGGCGAAAGCGUGCUACUGGGCUGUAUCUGACACUCAGGGACGAAAGCUAGGGGAGCGAAAGGGAUUAGAUACCCCUGUAGUCCUAGCCGUAAACGAUGGAUACUAGGCGUGGCUUGUAUCGACCCGAGCCGUGCCGAAGCUAACGCGUUAAGUAUCCCGCCUGGGGAGUACGCACGCAAGUGUGAAACUCAAAGGAAUUGACGGGGGCCCGCACAAGCGGNGGA
rnacentral:rRNA from 1 species